UACGGAGGGUGCAAGCAUUAAUCGGAUUUAUUGGGCGUAACGGGCGCGUAGGCGGAUUUGCAAGUCAGAUGUGAAAUUCCGAAGCUCAACUUCGGAGCUGCAUUUGAAACUGUGAGUCUAGAGGGAUGGCGGAGAAAAUGGAAUUCCACGUGUAGCGGUGAAAUGCGUAGAUAUGUGGAGGAACACCUGUGGCGAAAGCGGUUUUCUAGCUAUUACCUGACGCUGAGGCGCGAGAGCAAGGGGAUCAAACAGG
rnacentral:rRNA from 1 species